rnacentral:rRNA from 1 species
GGUUAAGCUACUAAGAGCACACGGAGGAUGCCUAGGCGCUAGGAGCCGAAGAAGGACGUGGCGAACAACGAAACUGCCUCGGGGAGCUGUAAGCAAGCUUUGAUCCGGGGGUGUCCGAAUGGGGAAACCCGGCUGUGUUCAUACGCAGUCACUCACAUCUGAAUACAUAGGGUGUGAAGAGGCAUACCAGGGGAACUGAAACAUCUAAGUACCCUGAGGAAGAGAAAACAAAAGUGAUUCCGUCAGUAGCGGCGAGCGAACGCGGAUUAGCCUAAACCAGGGAGCUUGCUCUCUGGGGUUGUGGGACGUCUCACAUGGAGUUACAAAGGAACCGAUUAGACGAACAGGUCUGGAAAGGCCGGCCAUAGAAGGUAAAAGCCCUGUAAUCGAAAGUCUGUUCCCUCCGAGACGGAUCCCGAGUAGUGCGGGGCACGUGAAACCCCGUAUGAAUCUGCCAGGACCAUCUGGUAAGGCUAAAUACUCCCUAGCGACCGAUAGUGAAGCAGUACCGUGAGGGAAAGGUGAAAAGCACCCCGGGAGGGAGUGAAAAAGAACCUGAAACCGUGUGCUUACAAGAAGUCAGAGCCCUAUUUAUGGGUGAUGGCGUGCCUUUUGUAGAAUGAACCGGCGAGUUACGUUCCCGUGCAAGGUUAAGGUGAAGAGCCGAAGCCGCAGCGAAAGCGAGUCUGAAUAGGGCGAUUGAGUACGUGGACGUAGACCCGAAACCGGGUGAUCUACCCCUGUCCAGGGUGAAGGUGCGGUAACACGCACUGGAGGCCCGAACCCACGUAUGUUGAAAAAUGCGGGGAUGAGGUGGGGGUAGCGGAGAAAUUCCAAUCGAACUCGGAGAUAGCUGGUUCUCCCCGAAAUAGCUUUAGGGCUAGCCUCGGUGAAUAGAGUCGUGGAGGUAGAGCACUGAUUGGGUGCGGGGCCCGCCAAGGGUUACCAAGCUCAGUCAAACUCCGAAUGCCAUAGACUUAUAACCGGGAGUCAGACAGUGAGUGCUAAGAUCCAUUGUCAAGAGGGAAACAGCCCAGACCAUCAGCUAAGGUCCCCAAGUGUGUGUUAAGUGGGAAAGGAUGUGGAGUUGCACAGACAACCAGGAUGUUGGCUUAGAAGCAGCCACCAUUUAAAGAGUGCGUAAUAGCUCACUGGUCGAGUGACUCUGCGCCGAAAAUGUAACGGGGCUAAACACACCACCGAAGCUAUGGCUUGAAUCGACUUCACUGCUUCUUUGAAGCGGUGUUGCCUGAGACAUUUUUGCCGAAAGCAACCUUUGAAAUCAUUCAUGGGUUUCGGCCAAAUGCUCCAGGGGUUAAACCCAUCACUUCGAAGCUGGAGUGAAGUCGAUUCAGGGGUAGGGGAGCGUUGUAUGCGGAUUGAAGUUGGACCGGAAGGACUGGUGGACUGCAUACAAGUGAGAAUGCCGGUAUGAGUAACGAAAAGAUCAGUGAGAAUCUGAUCCGCCGAAAGCCCAAGGUUUCCUGAGGAAGGUUCGUCCGCUCAGGGUAAGUCGGGACCUAAGGCGAGGCCGAAAGGCGUAGUCGAAGGACAACAGGUUGAAAUUCCUGUACCACCGUAAUCCGUUAUGAGCGAUGGGGUGACGCAGUAGGGUAGUGACGCGAGCUGAUGGAUGCUCGUCCAAGCAGUGAGGCUGAUGUGUAGGCAAAUCCGCACAUCGUUAAGGCUGGGCUGUGAUGGGGAGGGAAAAUUUACAGUACCGAAGGUCAUGAUCUCACACUGCCAAGAAAAGCCUCUAGCCAGGAGAAGGUGCCCGUACCGCAAACCGACACAGGUAGGCGAGAAGAGAAUUCUAAGGCGCGCGGAAGAACUCUCGUUAAGGAACUCGGCAAAAUGACCCCGUAACUUUGGGAGAAGGGGUGCCCCGGUAGUGUGAAUAGCACGAGGGGGCCGCAGUGAAAAGGCCCAAGCGACUGUUUAGCAAAAACACAGGUCUGUGCGAAGCCGUAAGGCGAAGUAUACGGGCUGACGCCUGCCCGGUGCUGGAAGGUUAAGGGGAGCGGUUAGGGGUAACCCGAAGCUGUGAACCGAAGCCCCAGUAAACGGCGGCCGUAACUAUAACGGUCCUAAGGUAGCGAAAUUCCUUGUCAGGUAAAUUCUGACCCGCACGAAUGGCGUAACGACUUGGGCGCUGUCUCAACGAGAGAUCCGGUGAAAUUUUAAUACCUGUGAAGAUGCAGGUUACCCGCGACAAGACGGAAAGACCCCAUGGAGCUUUACUACAGCUUGAUAUUGAACUUUGAUGCGAUUUGUACAGGAUAGGUGGGAGCCUAGGAAUCCGGAGCGCCAGCUUCGGUGGAGGCGCCGUUGGGAUACCACCCUGAUCGUAUCGAAGUUCUAACCUGGGACCGUGAUCCGGUUCGGGGACAGUGUCAGGUGGGUAGUUUGACUGGGGCGGUCGCCUCCUAAAGAGUAACGGAGGCGCCCCAAGGUUCCCUCAGAAUGGUUGGAAAUCAUUCGUAGAGUGCAAAGGCAAAGGGAGCUUGACUGCGAGACUGACAAGUCGAGCAGGGACGAAAGUCGGGCUUAGUGAUCCGGUGGUACCGCAUGGAAGGGCCAUCGCUCAACGGAUAAAAGCUACCCUGGGGAUAACAGGCUUAUCUCCCCAAGAGUCCACAUCGACGGGGAGGUUUGGCACCUCGAUGUCGGCUCAUCGCAUCCUGGGGCUGAAGUAGGUCCCAAGGGUUGGGCUGUUCGCCCAUUAAAGCGGUACGCGAGCUGGGUUCAGAACGUCGUGAGACAGUUCGGUCCCUAUCUGUCGUGGGCGUAGGAAAUUUGAGAGGAGCUGUCCUUAGUACGAGAGGACCGGGAUGGACGCACCGCUGGUGUACCAGUUGUUCCGCCAGGAGCAUAGCUGGGUAGCUACGUGCGGAUGGGAUAAACGCUGAAAGCAUCUAAGCGUGAAGCCCUCCUCAAGAUGAGAUUUCCCAAUUUAGUAAGACCCCUUGAAGACGACGAGGUUGAUAGGCCUGAGGUGGAAGUGCAGCAAUGUAUGGAGCUGACAGGUACUAAUCGGUCGAGGGCUUAUCCAA